CCUACGGGAGGCAACAGUGAGGAAUAUUGGUCAAUGGACGAGAGUCUGAACCAGCCAAGUAGCGUGAAGGAUGACUGCCCUAUGGGUUGUAAACUUCUUUUAUAAAGGAAUAAAACGAGGUACGUGUGCCUUUUUGCAUGUACCUUGUGAAUAAGGCUCGGCUAACUCCGUGCCAGCAGCCGCGGUAAUACGGAGGAUCCGAGCGUUAUCCGGAUUUAAUGGGUUUAAAGGGAGCGUAGAUGGGUUGUUAAGUCAGGUGUGAAAGUUUGGGGCUCAACCGUAGAAUUGCAGUUGAUACUGGAAGGCUUGAGUGCAGUUGAGGUAAGCGGAAUUCGUGGUGUAGCGGUGAAAUGCUUAGAUAUCAGGAAGAACCCCGAUUGCGAAGGCAGCUUACUAAACUGUGACUGACAUUGAUGCUCGAAAGUGUGGGUAGCAAACAGGAUUAGAUACCCCUGUAGUC
rnacentral:rRNA from 1 species